AUACGUAGGGGGCAAGCGUUGUCCGGAAUGAUUGGGCGUAAAGGGCGCGUAGGCGGCCUGUUAAGUCUGGAGUGAAAGUCCUGUUUUCAAGAUGGGAAUUGCUUUGGAUACUGAUGGGCUUGAGUGCAGGAGAGGUUAUCGGAAUUCCCGGUGUAGCGGUGAAAUGCGUAGAGAUCGGGAGGAACACCAGUGGCGAAGGCGGGUAACUGGACUGCAACUGACGCUGAGGCGCGAAAGUGUGGGGAGCAAACAGGAUUAGAUACCCUGGUAGUCCACACUGUAAACGAUGAAUGCUAGGUGUAAGAGGUAUCGACCCCUUUUGUGCCGGAGUUAACACAAUAAGCAUUCCGCCUGGGGAGUACGGCCGCAAGGUUGAAACUCAAAUGAAUUGACGGGG
rnacentral:rRNA from 1 species